GUGAGUGACUGGGAUUCUCGCGUGAGUGCUCCUUCACCUCUAAUCCUAAUCUUGGAUUGAGCCAAACAAAAAAAAUUAAAAAAAAAAGUAAGGUCACAAUGGAUGAUGAGCGUAAUUUUUGAGUUUGAGUCGAGUUUAAAACAUGAUCAAGACUGAGUUUAGAGAUCUGAGUUCGGCUGAGCCCUUAAACCUGCUAAUUCUUAUCGGAGGUGGUCUUAGUAGGAAAUUUUUUUGUUGAUUAUAAUGAGACGGUUGGGGAUGCUACAACUUUGAGUGGUUAAGCUAAAAAAACAUGUCAGUUCUGGUGGUCAUACAGCAUUAUAUUCGGCAGACAAUCAGACAUUGAGAUGCAUGUAUCAUCUAUAGACUAUAGUUAAUAUACUUAUGGAUUUUGAUUAGUUUUGAUACACCUAUGCAAAUCAUACUCUUCUCCCACUAAUGAAAUCUAGAUAUGGCACUCAAGUAUAAAAUAUGCCGCAACUUUUCUUUUUCAUCUUGACAUCUUGAAGGUGCAAAUAUAUUUAUAUUUUAGUUAGAUAGAUAAGGUGAAUAUUAUUUGAUACACGAUUGCAUGAGUUUGUUCAAGAUUUGGUCACCAAACUUAUGGGUCAUAUAUUUUGUAAUAUUCGUCUUUUAGAAAUAUCAAAAUUUCAUUAUCAUGUUUUGCAAGGAUGGAGCAAAUAACUCUUGGGUAGAGCUUGAAGUAGGAGACAGUUUGUCCUUAUCUAUGAUUCUAUAGCUGUUUAUGAAAAUAAUUCUUCAAAACUUGUGAUCGAACUUGAGGAUUGCUUGAUUGAUAUUGGAUUUGCCGGCAUAUUGAUUGGAUCAAGCAGCAAAUCAGAUGCUUUCAACGAACCAAUUUGUCCGAACAUGACCCUGAUAUUUUAAUCUUAGAAAUUGAACACUAUUGAGUUUUGAAACUACAUCUUAAAAUAUUUUGAUGUCAAUUAGAUGGUACUUUCAACUACGUACUAUAAGAUUUAAUAAUUUCAAUCUAUAAUUUGAUUACAAAUUUUUUGCUUUCCUAUUUCAAAUAUUAAUUUCAGUUAUAUUUCCAUCUUUAUUUCAUAUUUAUGAACUAAUUUGUUCGAACCCCUCUCGCUACCUGCAUCAAUAGAAAUUAGAAGGAACUAAUUCUAAUAUUAUCUUGUUUCUUUACCUCAACCCUCUUGCAUGGCUUUCUUAUGCUCCCCCUUUUUUUUUCAAUGAUUCUUUCUUUUAUUAGGUUGUUUUGGUUGGAGAAAAAGAAAAAUUAUAAUAGUGAAAGUUAUGCUUGUUGGUAUAGUUAUUUUACAAGCUAUGUCGAUUUUUGUUUGGUUUAAAAUUCUUGUUCCUAUUUUAUAUAACCCAUGGUCAUGUUUAGUUGCAGAAUGAGAAAUGAGGUUGCUUUUCGGUAUCAGAUGGACAAAUAAACAUUUUUAAUCUUAUUAUCUUUCACUUGGCUAUAUAUCUUUUUAGGCAUUUUAUUUAAAUAAAUAAUCGAGCAACUAAAC
rnacentral:lncRNA from 1 species